rnacentral:rRNA from 1 species
UACGUAGGGCGCGAGCGUUGUCCGGAAUUAUUGGGCGUAAAGAGCUCGUAGGCGGUCUGUUGCGUCCGCUGUGAAAACCCAGGGCUUAACCCUGGGCUGGCAGUGGAUACGGACAGACUAGAGGUAGGUAGGGGAGAAUGGAAUUCCCGGUGUAGCGGUGAAAUGCGCAGAUAUCGGGAGGAACACCGGUGGCGAAGGCGGUUCUCUGGGCCUUACCUGACGCUGAGGAGCGAAAGCGCGGGGAGCGAACGGG